AUCAUGUUUUUACACACCAUACCUAAUUUCCCUAUUCAUAUCCUCUCCUGGGCGGCCGGAAAUCAUUUCCGCCGCCCACCGUCGUCCCUCCACCUUCAUGACACUGUUGACCACCGUCUGACCUCCGCAUGAAAUCGUCCCCGGCGACGGGCCACCCCCAAUUGACCCCAAAUUUUCACCAAACACUCCUCACCACCUCCUCAUCCCUAAGACAUCAUUAUCUUCCCUAAAAAACCUCCCAAACUCGCUGAAUAGAGGUUCUAUGAAAUAAAAAUCCAAGAUUUUUGUCCCUUUUCUAAUUUUCUCCUGAUUUUGCUCCUUUUAGUGACGAAACUUACAUCACUCGACCACUCUUGAUGAGAGAAGUCAAUUGGUGUUCGUGCCGGUCUAUUUUUGGUCAAACGGCCGUCGACCGGCCGGAAUCCCUUUGAACUUUUCCCAUUUUCUUUGCUCGGUUCUAACCUUCAAUUCUUCAAGAAUUUUUUGACCUAUGAAAUAUUUAUCGGAUUUUAGUCCGGCCAAGUAUUCAUAGGUCGAAAAUCUCCGGAGUUUUGAAGACUUAAACACAUGGAGCUUCGUUCUUCUAUCCUUGCAUUCGAUCUCAUUAGAAGAUUAAUUACUCUGGAAAAUGUUGCUUUGGCUACUGACUCUGUUGUUGGUUCUGUGAUUUCGAGAGCUGAACUUCAUCCCUCAACUUUCUGAUAUGUAUUUGGUCUAUCCUCACUGUUUUACCGCUACUAGGUAUGAUCAAAACCUUCUGUAAUACUCCAUUGAUUUUCAUGAAUGAGGAUCCGAGUUGUUCAGAUCCAUAUGUAUAAUUAGUUUCAUAGAUGCACCAUUAUAUUUGCCUAUUGUUUCUUCUAUGUUAGCUUAUUGUUCUAAUUAUUUUUUAUUAAAUGCUUAAAUUGAAACCAUUCAGUGAUCAAGCCUAGCAACUGCUCAAUGCUUUGUUAUGAUUAGCUUCUCAUGAAUUCAUCAAUGGACUUGCCUAUAAUCGCUUCUUUGUUAGCCAUUGAUUCUGAUUGUUUAAGCUGAAGCAGGUCAUUAAUUAGUAGAUCCUAAUUGCAGAUUGCUGAAGCAUGAUGAUUCUAGAAGCAGUAAUGAAUAGUUAAUUUUAGAAUUCAGACUAGUUUAACUCGUUGUAACAUUGUUUCACAUAGCAAGGUCAUUAACGUCGCCUUUAUUAUAAAUUCAACUUAGAAUCCCUGAUGUAAUAAAUUGUUGCUCUAAUUUUGAACUCAGGUAGCCAUAUGCUUGAUAUUUCGGACAAUUCAUUUUUUUAA